AUUGAACGCUGGCGGCAGGCCUAACACAUGCAAGUCGAGCGAGCGGCGGACGGGUGAGUAAUGUCUGGGAAACUGCCUGAUGGAGGGGGAUAACUACUGGAAACGGUAGCUAAUACCGCAUACCAUCAGAUGUGCCCAGAUGGGAUUAGCUAGUAGGUGGGGUACCGGCUCACCUAGGCGACGAUCCCUAGCUGGUCUGAGAGGAUGACCAGCCAAAGUGGAACUGAGACACGGUCCAGACUCCCACGGGGGGCAGCAGUGGGGAAUAAUGCACAAUGGGCGCAAGCCUGGAGGAGCCCUGCCGCGUGGGUGGAGAAGGCCUUCGGGGUGUAAAGCACUUUCAGGGGGGGGGCGUUACCCGCAGAAGAAGCACCGGCUAACUCCGUGCCAGCCGCCGCGGUAAUUC
rnacentral:rRNA from 1 species